GUCAGAGAUCUAGAGAGCCCGCGAGAGGAAAGGGGCUGGACCCUCAUCUCUGCUCAAAGCAGAUGGGAGCGUCUGCCCCCGUGCCCCCAGUGCUGCCGACCCCUGCAGUGUCCCCUCCAGUGUCCGCGAGUAAUGGGUUCGAGGCUCUCGCAUGGGAGAGGGAUGAAGGUCUGCAAAGUAGCCCAAACUCAUGCCCUGAGAAGCUCGUUGAGAAUGCAGGGAGUAACAAGCAUAGGGUGCGCGGCCAGUCAGGGCACUGCAUCAAUAGCAG
ensembl:lncRNA